rnacentral:tRNA from 4 species
GGCCAGGUAGCUCAGUCGGUAGAGCAGCGGAUUGAAAAUCCGCGUGUCGACGGUUCGAUUCCGCCCCUGGCCACCA